GAUGAACGCUGGCGGCGUGCCUAAUACAUGCCAGUCGAGCGAACAGAUAAGGAGCUUGCUCCUUUGACGUUAGCGGCGGACGGGUGAGUAACACGUGGGUAACCUACCUAUAAGACUGGGAUAACUUCGGGAAACCGGAGCUAAUACCGGAUAACAUUUGGAACCGCAUGGUUCUAAAGUGAAAGAUGGUUUUGCUAUCACUUAUAGAUGGACCCGCGCCGUAUUAGCUAGUUGGUAAGGUAACGGCUUACCAAGGCGACGAUACGUAGCCGACCUGAGAGGGUGAUCGGCCACACUGGAACUGAGGCACGGUCCAGACUCCUACGGGAGGCAGCAGUAGGGAAUCUUCCGCAAUGGGCGAAAGCCUGACGGAGCAACGCCGCGUGAGUGAUGAAGGGUUUCGGCUCGUAAAACUCUGUUAUUAGGGAAGAACAAAUGUGUAAGUAACUGUGCACGUCUUGACGGUACCUAAUCAGAAAGCCACGGCUAACUACGUG
rnacentral:rRNA from 1 species